GGCGAACGCUGGCGGCGUGCCUAAUACAUGCAAGUCGAGCGGACGGAUGGGAGCUUGCUCCCAGACCGUCAGCGGCGGACGGGUGAGUAACACGUGGGCAACCUGCCUGUAAGACUGGGAUAACUCCGGGAAACCGGGGCUAAUACCGGAUAACUCUUUCCCUCACAUGAGGGAAAGCUGAAAGAUGGCAUCUCGCUAUCACUUACAGAUGGGCCCGCGGCGCAUUAGCUAGUUGGUGAGGUAACGGCUCACCAAGGCGACGAUGCGUAGCCGACCUGAGAGGGUGAUCGGCCACACUGGGACUGAGACACGGCCCAGACUCCUACGGGAGGCAGCAGUAGGGAAUCUUCCGCAAAGGACGAAAGUCUGACGGAGCAACGCCGCGUGAGUGAUGAAGGUUUUCGGAUCGUAAAACUCUGUUGUCAGGGAAGAACAAGUACCGGAGUAACUGCCGGUACCUUGACGGUACCUGACCAGAAAGCCACGGCUAACUACGUG
rnacentral:rRNA from 1 species